GUAGGGUGCAAGCGUUGUCCGGAAUUAUUGGGCGUAAAGAGCUCGUAGGCGGUUUGUCGCGUCGAAUGUGAAAACCCGGGGCUCAACCCCCGGGCCUUGCAUUCGAUACGGGCAGACUAGAGUUCGGUAGGGGAGUCUGGAAUUCCUGGUGUAGCGGUGAAAUGCGCAGAAUAUCAGGAGGAACACCGGUGGCGAAGGCGGGACUCUGGGCCGAUACUGACGCUGAGGAGCGAAAGCGUGGGGAGCGAACAGGAUUAGAUACCCUGGUAGUCCACGCCGUAAACGUUGGGCGCUAGGUGUGGGGGUCCUUCCACGACCUCCGUGCCGCAGCUAACGCAUUAAGCGCCCCGCCUGGGGAGUACGGCCGCAAGGCUA
rnacentral:rRNA from 1 species